CAAAAUGAAGAAGAAAGAUGAGCGUCAUCGAGAGCAGUGACAAACUCAUUUGUGAGCCAUACGAAAUUCCUCGAAUAUUCUUCGUUGCAUCUUUCUUGAAGACUUUUCCAAAGCACCCCGCGUAUAUCAAGCCCAUCGUCAUCUACCACGUGAUCAUUACCCUACUCCUCCUCCACCUCGUCCUUCACCCUCGUACGAGCUGAUUUAGAAUAACCCGAAACUCCGUCGUUCUACUCACUCGUAUGUUCGAUCUCGACCGGUUCGUGUCACCAUACUACAUUGCGUUUUUCCUUCCUCCUUCAUACUAAUCUUCGAAAUUUCAAAAACAAUUCUACAAUCAUGGAAAUUGCCAAAGCAAACGAUACAGCAAGUAGUUUGGUCGAGCAAUCGUUGAACGUCGAAUCGGCAUUGAAGUCUGUGAAAUCGUCGCAAAGCACGCAAAGCGUACAAACCAAAUCUGUAAUCGAAUCGUCAACUUCCAUUAAAUCGGUAACCACGUCAUCGAGCAGGUCACAUCGAUCGAUGGAGUACGAGGAGUCGGUUGAAUACACAGAUGAAUAAUAAUUAUCACGCGACAAUAUCCUAGAGUCCCAGGAAAAUCAAGUGGGCAGGCAUCGCGAACGUGGUCGAGAUUAAAACACGGUUUGCUAAAUUAUUCAAUCGACUAAUUACUCUAAUUUAUUGAAUAGAAAAUGAAAACGAAAUUCCUACAUUAUAUCAAAUGUCAUAU